GCCUGUCUAGCUCAGUCGGUAGAGCGCAAGGCUCUUAACCUUGUGGUCCUGGGUUCAAGUCCCAGGGUGGGCG
rnacentral:tRNA from 1 species